UCGAAGUAACGAUCUCAAAAACGUAAAAAUUAUCAAAAACUGAAACCAAACUAACCUUGAAUCAAGCUUGAGAAUGGCCGAACCUAAGGAACCCUUAUUUCUUUUCUUUUCUUUUAUAUUCGGUCAUGAAAAGAAUAUGAACAAUGGCUUUUUAUUAUUUUAUUUUAUAUAACAUUAUUAACCAUUUUACAUUUUUAACCUUUAACUUAAAAUAUAAACUCAUUAUAAAUUAAGGUUACUACCGUCUAUCAUCCUUAAUCAUGG
rnacentral:lncRNA from 1 species